GACAGGUGCUGCAUGGCUGUCGUCAGCUCGUGUUGUGAAAUGUUGGGUUAAGUCCCGCAACGAGCGCAACCCUUAUCCUUUGUUGCCAGCGGUUCGGCCGGGAACUCAAAGGAGACUGCCAGUGAUAAACUGGAGGAAGGUGGGGAUGACGUCAAGUCAUCAUGGCCCUUACGAGUAGGGCUACACACGUGCUACAAUGGCAUAUACAAAGAGAAGCGACCUCGCGAGAGCAAGCGGACCUCAUAAAGUAUGUCGUAGUCCGGAUUGGAGUCUGCAACUCGACUCCAUGAAGUCGGAAUCGCUAGUAAUCGUGGAUCAGAAUGCCACGGUGAAUACGUUCCCGGGCCUUGUACACACCGCCCGUCACACCAUGGGAGUGGGUUGCAAAAGAAGUAGGUAGCUUAACCUUCGGGAGGGCGCUUACCACUUUGUGAUUCAUGACUGGGGUGAAGUCGUAACAAGGUAACCGUAGGGGAACCUGCGGUUGGAUCACCUCCUUA
rnacentral:rRNA from 1 species